rnacentral:rRNA from 1 species
ACGCACGCUGGCGGCGUGCCUAAUACCUGCAAGUUGAGCGCUGAAGGUUGGUACUUGUACCAACUGGAUGAGCAGCGAACGGGUGAGUAACGCGUGGGGAAUCUGCCUUUGAGCAGGGGACAACAUUUGGAAACGAAUGCUAAUACCGCAUAAAAACUUUAAACACAAGUUUUAAGUUUGAAAGAUGCAAUUGCAUCACUCAAAGAUGAUCCCGCGUUGUAUUAGCUAGUUGGUGAGGUAAAGGCUCACCAAGGCGAUGAUACAUAGCCGACCUGAGAGGGUGAUCGGCCACAUUGGGACUGAGACACGGCCCAAACUCCUACGGGAGGCAGCAGUAGGGAAUCUUCGGCAAUGGACGAAAGUCUGACCGAGCAACGCCGCGUGAGUGAAGAAGGUUUUCGGAUCGUAAAACUCUGUUGGUAGAGAAGAACGUUGGUGAGAGUGGAAAGCUCACCAAGUGACGGUAACUACCCAGAAAGGGACGGCUAACUACGUG